rnacentral:rRNA from 1 species
GAUGAACGCUGGCGGCGUGCCUAAUACAUGCAAGUCGAGCGAAUGGAUUAAGAGCUUGCUCUUAUGAAGUUAGCGGCGGACGGGUGAGUAACACGUGGGUAACCUGCCCAUAAGACUGGGAUAACUCCGGGAAACCGGGGCUAAUACCGGAUAACAUUUUGAACCGCAUGGUUCGAAAUUGAACGGCGGUUUCGGCUGUCACUUAUGGAUGGACCAGCGUCGCAUUAGCUAGUUGGUGAGGUAACGGCUCACCAAGGCAACGAUGCGUAGCCGACCUGAGAGGGUGAUCGGCCACACUGGGACUGAGACACGGCCCAGACUCCUACGGGAGACAGCAGUAGGGAAUCUUCCGCAAUGAACGAAAGUCUGACGGAGCAACGCCGCGUGAGUGAUGAAGGCUUUCGGGUCGUAAAACUCUGUUGUUAGGGAAGAACAAGUGCUAGUUGAAUAAGCUGGCACCUUGACGGUACCUAACCAGAAAGCCACGGCUAACUACGUGCCAGCCGCCGCCGUAA